UUGAUAUACCGAAGAAUAGGGCCCGUAAGUCUCGUUUACUUUCACUUUCGAUUUACCACUUCCGGGUACAUCGGCAGACUUAUUUACCGUUACGCAUAUAGGUAACCCGAAGAACUCGAGGGAUAUAGAAGUUAAAUUUGUUUCGGUCCUCUUCAGAUUUGAAGGAAUGGAUAGCACGGGUCAAAAAAUGCAGAUGUAAAGACAAGGAGGUAUAUGACAAGUAUAGAAUAUACAGUUGUUCAAUAUGGACCAUUAAUCAACUGUUUGCACUGCCUAUGAUCCUGAAAUAUCUAUACAUCAAAGAUAAAAAGGGAAAAGAUGAAAAAGGAUUUGUCCAUGAAGACCUUUAUUGCAACUACCAUCUUCCAGUUCCUUAAUUUGAGAAUGAUAUCAGAGAACACACAGUUACAGUGAAAUAUUAGUUUAAUAUAAGCCACUGAGAAUAGUCAAAUGUACUUUCCUGAAGAAGAUGAAUGACAUCCAGCACAAAAAUCUUAAUGUAUAAAGAGUAUGAUUUUAUGGUGUUUGACACUAUGAUCUUGUUAACAUGUUAAUGUCACAAUGAUAGAAACAGAGUAAAAUAUCCACAUGUCAUUGCAGUUUUAAGUAUUAAAACUAGAUAAUCUAUAUAUACCAAAGCUGUUAACACACCAGAGAUAAGGUUUUUUCAUGGAAUCACAGUAUAGUCAUAUGACAUUAUGGACAUUAAAUGACUAUGAAGUAAAGAUUAGCAAACAUAUUAUAUAAUUAUCAUCUACUACUAAUAUUGUGAGGUAAUCAUUGAUAAGCUCACAAAUUUGCAAUCAAAGCUUUGAUAUCAAGCUGAACAUUUUUCAAUUAGAAUAUGAUUUAUAACUCUAUGAUAAUUUGUUCAUGUUAAUUUUCAAAGUCUUUACAUUUGUAAAAGGAAAUAUUCUUAUUCUUGUAUCAGUAGACAUUCACAGUGUAAAGUUACAUUGUCCAAAUAACUAAUAAUAAUCCCAAGUGCUUUCCUGAAUUUUUUCUUCCACUGGAAAAUCAGUGUGAUAUAUAUGCUAAGCAGUGCACUAUAAAUUGUGUAAAAAUAAAAGUUUAUUAAACUUAUGAACUGUUUUUUGUUUCUACUAUUUGGCAUAUAUUUAUAGCAGUGCUUGAUCAUAA